UUGUGCCAGGUCCUCUUCCACAGCGUGUAGCAGCUUGGGGUUAGCUUCAUUAUCCUCAGCCUUCCUGCCACGUUUGCUGAAACGGGUGUCCAUCUAGCUACAGUUGUGUAAGCAACGAAAACAGGCUACUUAAAGGCUAACUAGUAUUAGUUGCUGAACGCUAACUUAAUAAAACGGCGAAUACUGUAAACAAAAAGACUAACGUCACAGUUAUAAUGUCCUCUUCAAAAAAAUGUUCUUUUAAAAUCCAAAUUACACACCGUUAUUUCGCGUUAGCUUACCUGAAGUAGGAAACUUCCAGACUGUUGAUCAGUGUGUUGCACUGCUGGCAUGUCCGUCACGUCGCGUUGGGAUCUACUCAUGUGGAUAGUCACGUUACGUAAACGUUACGUUACGCGCGCAUUCAGUUCAAAUUCAACAAAACUUGUAAACAGUGAUGAAAUAUUAAUACAUGUGUUAGUUUUAAUUAGUUUUAUAUUUAGAAAAGCCAACUACGUUUGAAAUCUCAUAACUUUUUUCACGAAUACAGGUGCAGUUCCCCUGUAGACACACGUGGGGGCGCUGUUCUGUCUUGUUGAUGGAGCAUUGAGCGACGAGAAGAAGACUGACGUACCUAUAAAAGGCGCGGUUCAGAGACGGGUGACUAGUUGUUGAUGCAAUGACACUGAUGGAAGAACUUUUAAAACAUAUUAGGCGUUCAAAUACACACAAGAGCAGAAAGAAAAUUCUGAAAUGGAUGCAGAAACGUGGUAUCCUGGCGACGACGAUGAAGUGCGCAAAAUGCAACCGUCACAUGCAUCUGGUGAAAUGCCAUGUCAAGGAUGGGCUGUGGUGUACCAUCAUUGUCGAUGUGGCAACACUUGGCGCCGUGAACGGCAGUGGGUCUUUGGGAUGUUGGAGGUCGACAAGAAGUCCAGAAGACCCAUUCUGAGACUUGUCAGGGAUCGCAGAAGGAAGACACUUAUAGGUCAUAUUAGACGCCAUGUCAGACCCAGAACAUCCAUCCUCAGUGAUGAAUGGCGUGCCUACAAAGGGCAACUUGCCCAGUAUGGGUAUGAUCAUUAUUCGGUCUGCCAUAAAAACAACUUUGUGGACCGAGAGACUGGUGCUCAUACUCAGCAUAUUGAGCGUGCAUAGUAAAGCUACAAGCUGGAAGUAUGGCGUCACAGAGGGAAUCGUACUCCUGAAUCACUCAAGCUUCAUCUUAAGAUGAUAGAAUGGCACCACUGGUUGGGUGUACACCAUUACAAUGGCGUGUUGGGCAGACUUUUCCAUGAUUUUUUUUUUUUUUACUUUACUUUUUACUGAUGUGAAAAAACUUGUUUUUU
ensembl:lncRNA